GUUAAUCUAUUGAGGGAGUGUAUCCGGUUUUUCGAAUUUUAUAUCUGAACUAUCACUAAGUGUUUAUCGACACACACCUCAACUAUCCGUUGUUCCCUUUUCCUACCUGAAUGAUGGUGAUAUUCUAGGUUGGGAAAGGGAACAACUGAUAGUUGAGGUAUGUUUCGAUAAACAUUUGGUGAUAGUUCAGGUUGGGAACUCGGAAAAAGGAAUACUUGAUCUGUGUUUUUGAC